CGCCGUGGUGGCGAUGAGGCUCGCCGUAACCGCCGUGAAGCUCGCGGCUGAUGGCCUCUACGGAAGU
rnacentral:ncRNA from 2 species